rnacentral:rRNA from 1 species
UACAGAGGGUGCAAGCGUUGUUCGGAAUUACUGGGCUUAAAGCGCAUGUAGGCGGGAGCGUAAGUGCCUUGUGAAAUCCCUCGGCUCAACCGAGGCAUGGCUCGGUAUACUGCGUUCCUUGAGGCAGGUAAGGGUGCGUGGAACUCUAGGUGGAGCGGUGAAAUGCGUAGAUAUCUAGAGGAACGCCAGUGGUGAAAACGGCGCACUGGGCCUGUCCUGACGCUGAGGUGCGAAAGCGUGGGUAGCGAACGGGAUUAGAUACCCCGGUAGUCCACGCCGUAAACGAUGUCUACUAGAUCGCGGUGACUCUGACGUUGGCGCGGUCGAAGCAAAAGUGAUAAGUAGACCGCCUGGGGAGUACGGUCGCAAGGCUAAA